rfam:Lactobacillus suebicus DSM 5007 = KCTC 3549 strain DSM 5007 Scaffold1, whole genome shotgun sequence.
UGGGUAUUCGCCAAACUGGUAAGGCACCGGACUCUGAAUCCGCAAUUUACUGGUUCGAGACCAGUAUACCCAA